AGCACCUCUGGCUGCUGUUGACCUUGUUUUUGGAGUAAAACACGGUGGAAGCUGAAUUAGUGAGGAUGACUCCUGCUCCUGUCAUCUCUAAGCUCCUCACACAUCUUUACCUGCACAUGAGGAAAAUCACUCCUGUAGAAUGCAGAUGCACAAUGAGGGACGUCUGCAGCGACUGAGAAAGAGUCUCACCACAUCCUGACAUGAGGAAAAAGACUUUAUUGAAGACUACAAUGAGAAAAACUAUCAGACAGCAGACGGCUGCAUUCAAGAAGACCAUCAAACAUCCACGUCAGCUGAUGGAGGUCCAAGAGUCUCACCAAACAACCAACCUACAGAGUGAAGACCUCCAAUCUGAUUGGACGGCCUCCUAUUCAGCCACAUGUGUGAACAAAUGCCUCUAAGCUGAUUUGUUUUCUAAAAUAAAUCUAGUUUGAGUCCUAAUCUAUGCCUGUGUGUUUGCUUCUUUACACCGCUGUUAACAGUUUAGGCUGUUAGAUUGUUCCAGAUAAGACAAGUACAAGAUUCUUCAGAGCCGUUCUACCACGAGCCUGACAGGAAGAACUCCAACAGCUACUGAAUGUUCCUGUGGUCCCCUCAAGGCUACAGGAGGAGUCCUACGAGGACGAGCCGGUCCACCUGAUGGUGGCCAGUCGCUGCGGUUUAAAGCCAACACCGACUAUGUGGACUUCUACUGGACCACACGGAGGCCUUCAAACCGGACCAACAAGUUCACCGACUCCCCGACUCGUGGGUCUGAGGACGCUGCCGAGCCUCGGCCCAGCCGGCCUCCUGUCUGUGGGUGUUUGAGUGCUGAGAGGUUUGUGGAUGCAUGUGAACGUUCUGUGUUGAAACAGCAGCUUUGGACUCAGUAACGCCGGGAAAAACCAAGAGCUCCUUUAUUUGUCACUUCCACUAAAACUGAUGAAAAUAAGUUUGCCAGGGUUCUGACUGAUGACAGAUUAUUAAAUAAUGAAAAUAAUCGUUUAAAUAUUCCUUUAAACAAUCCUUUUAGG
ensembl:lncRNA